rnacentral:rRNA from 1 species
UUACGGGAGGCAGCAAUGGGGAAUUUUCCGCAAUGGGCGAAAGCCUGACGGAGCAACGCCGCGUGAGGGAUGAAGGCCUCUGGGCUGUAAACCUCUUUUCUCAAGGAAGAAGACUUGACGGUACUUGAGGAAUAAGCCACGGCUAAUUCCGUGCCAGCAGCCGCGGUAAUACGGGAGUGGCAAGCGUUAUCCGGAAUUAUUGGGCGUAAAGCGUCCGCAGGCGGCCUUGUAAGUCUGUCGUUAAAGCGUGGAGCUUAACUCCAUUUCAGCGAUGGAAACUACAAGGCUUGAGUGUGGUAGGGGCAGAGGGAAUUCCCGGUGUAGCGGUGAAAUGCGUAGAUAUCGGGAAGAACACCAGUGGCGAAGGCGCUCUGCUGGGCCAUAACUGACGCUCAUGGACGAAAGCCAGGGGAGCGAAAGGGAUUAGAUACCCCGGUAGG